CGCGUGUACUGGUCCGGCCGGGCCUUUCCCUCUGUGGAACCUCAUGCCCUUCACUGGGCGUGACGGGGAAACAGGACUUUUACUGUGAAAAAAUUAGAGUGCUCCAGGCAGGCCUAUGCUCGAAUACAUUAGCAUGGAAUAAUGAAAUAGGACGUGCGGUUCUAUUUUGUUGGUUUCUAGGACCGCCGUAAUGAUUAAUAGGGACAGUCGGGGGCAUCAGUAUUCAAUUGUCAGAGGUGAAAUUCUUGGAUUUAUUGAAGACUAACUACUGCGAAAGCAUUUGCCAAGGAUGUUUUCAUUAAUCAGGAACGAAAGUUAGGGGAUCGAAGACGAUCAGAUACCGUCGUAGUCUUAACCAUAAACUAUGCCGACUAGGGAUCGGACGAUGUAAAUAAUUGACUCGUUCGGCACCUUACGAGAAAUCAAAGUGUUUGGGCUCCAGGGGGAGUAUGGUCGCAAGGCUGAAACUUAAAGAAAUUGACGGAAGGGCACCACCAGGGGUGGAGCCUGCGGCUUAAUUUGACUCAACACGGGGAAACUCACCAGGUCCAGACACAAUGAGGAUUGACAGAUUGAGAGCUCUUUCUUGAUUUUGUGGGUGGUGGUGCAUGGCCGUUCUUAGUUGGUGGAGUGAUUUGUCUGCUUAAUUGCGAUAACGAACGAGACCUUAACCUGCUAAAUAGCCCGUAUUGCUUUGGCAGUACGCUGGCUUCUUAGAGGGACUAUCGG
rnacentral:rRNA from 1 species